rnacentral:lncRNA from 1 species
AAGGGGGGGAAUAGUAGCCCAGACCCAUGAUGAGCCUCAUCGAGGCCGGUGGGGGUCGAGACUACGGACAACACCGUACGAGGCCGCCAGAGCAUAAAUCAAAUCUAGUUGUAAACUCCCCUAUAAGAACAGUGAGGAGCAGACAGGCCCCUAGACGGGGAUUAUCUUAGAACACGUCUAAGAUAGUACUGAGGUGUACCACACUGGUCGUAAAGGAAGUCCAAUGGACUUGUCCACCUCCAAAACAAAUGGCAACAAUAAUCAUUCCUUGCCAUGUGUAGGUUCAACUACAAUACAACUAGUAAUAUGCUCCAAUCAUGUGUUCCGGUAGAUAAUAUUUCAGAAUAAAUCGGUAGGACAACUGGACCCCUUGAAUACCAGUACCAAUACCGCAGUCAGUCCAGCAACACUCAGUAAGAGGAUUAGUAACCUCACAAGUUAAAUUGCUAUUGAUAAUAGCGACAUAGGAGUCACUCAGAGUGCAACACGGGGAAGGGAAUCUCCAUUGCACUCUUCCAAUGGUUAACACAUGCCACUAAUAAAUAGAACCCUCCGUCCAGGAGAAAAUUAUUAGAAGUCAUGAACCAUGAUCACACCACGUACGACUGGUCUAACACUUAGAGUACUUCCGUCAUGAGGUUAGCUCCUCCGGGGAUAACAUAGCUAUGAAAUUGACUUCAUACCUACUGCCACUACAAUAGUGGAAGACACAGUGACUUGUAGAAAACUACUACAGACUCCCUUGACACCAUAUAUUUCAUGAGUGUGUGUGCAUUGUUAACAUCUGCCUAAGUUACUGCCCAGAUAUUCUAGUCUGGACGACCAGACGACGGGUCCGGAACGGCGAUCCCAAUCCGGACAUCCGCUGCCGAGUCAUGGAACGGACAUCUUCAUUUGCAGAGACCCUACCCGGGUCGACCACCAUAUUGGAAUGUCCACAGUGCAAGGUGUUCUACAUUGGACGGACAAAGAGAUGCCUUCAAGAUCGCCUAGCGGAACACAAGUACGCCAUACGGGUAGGCAAUGAAGACUACCCCAUGGCAAGGCACUACAAGUCCUUACACCAUGGCAACCCUGCCUCCCUACAAGCUAUGGGUAUUGAUCAUAUCCCGGCCUCUAUUAGAAAAGGGGACCGUCUUAAACAGUUAAACCAAAGGGAAAGUUUGGGGAUUUACAAACUACAGGCCACUAAAUACCCGGGUUUAAAUGAAGAUAUGGAUUUCUCACCCUUCCUGUAGGGUUGUGAUGGGUACAUUUGCUGUCAUCUAGUGGAUAUUUUGCUCAAUUGCCCUCAGCUAUGUUUAGACUCUUGUUGUUCAUGUUUUGCUGUGUUCUAGUGUACUAUGGAAUGUAUUGCUUUCUUAUUCUUAACACUUCUCCCAGACAUAUUUAAGGUUAGAACUACCUUUCUAAGUGUUCUGAUACUUCUAGUUUGGAGUUACAUUUUUAUGAUAACAUAGCUGCAGCAUUUCACUUUAAAGUGUGUAUACUAUUGCUUACUAGGUGUGUCCAAUCAAUUUUAACCACUCCCCCUUCUAAUUAGGGUUAAUUGGAAAAGCUGUUAAACAGAGAACAUUGUAUUAUUUCUUUGUACACCCUGAUGAAGGCCAUGCAGCCGAAACGCGUCGGUUUUUUAAAAACAUUGUUUCUAUUGAACAUGCC